GGUUCGACUCCGGAGAGGGAGCCUGAGAAACGGCUACCACAUCCAAGGAAGGCAGCAGGCGCGCAAAUUACCCACUCUCGGCACGAGGAGGUAGUGGCGAAAAAUAACGAGACGGAUCUCUUUGAGGCCCGUUAUCGGAAUGAGAACAAUUCAAAUCCUUUAACGAGGAUCUAGCGGAGGGCAAGUCUGGUGCCAGCAGCCGCGGUAAUUCCAGCUCCGCAGGUGUAUAUCUAUGCUGCUGCGGUUAAAAAGCUCGUAGUUGGAUCUGCGUGCUCGGAACUGGUUGGCUCACUGAGUUCAAACUGGUCUCCGGCGCUUUAUUGGCUGGUUUUCCCUUGAUGCUCUUAACCGGGUGUCUUGGGUGGCUAGCACGUUUACUUUGAAAAAAAUUAGAGUGCUCAAUACAGGCGUAAAGCCUUGAAUAGUGGUGCAUGGAAUAAUAGAAUAGGACCUCGGCUCUAUUUUGUUGGUUUUCGGAACGCGAGGUAAUGAUUAAGGGGGACAGACGGGGGCAUUCGUAUUGCGACGUUAGAGGUGAAAUUCUUGGAUCGUCGCAAGACGGACGACUGCGAAAGCAUUUGCCAAGAAUGUUUUCAUUAAUCAAGAACGAAAGUUAGAGGUUCGAAGGCGAUCAGAUACCGCCCUAGUUCUAACCGUAAACGAUGCCAACUAGCGAUUCGCAGGCGUUAAACAACGACCUUGCGGGCAGCUUCCCGGAAACGAAAGUGUUCGGGUUCCGGGGGAAGUAUGGUUGCAAAGCUGAAACUUAAAGGAAUUGACGGAAGGGCACCACCAGGAGUGGAGCCUGCGGCUUAAUUUGACCCAACACGGGAAAACUCACCCGGCCCGGACACCGUAAGGAUUGACAGAUUGAGAGCUCUUUCUUGAUUCGGUGGGUGGUGGUGCAUGGCCGUUCUUAGUUGGUGGAGCGAUUUGUCUGGUUUAUUCCGAUAACGAACGAGACUCUGGCCUACUAAAUAGUGGGCGGAUUCUUUCUGUCCGCAACACUUCUUAGAGGGACAAGCGGUGUUCAGCCGCACGAGAUUGAGCAAUAACAGGUCUGUGAUGCCCUUAGAUGUCCGGGGCUGCACGCGCGCUACACUGAAGGAAUCAGCGUGCUUUCUGACCUUGCCCGAAAGGGCUGGGUAACCCGAUGAAAAUCCUUCGUGAUUGGGAUAGGGACUUGCAAUUAUUUCCCUUGAACGAGGAAUUCCCAGUAAGUGUGGGUCAUAAGCUCGCGUUGAUUACGUCCCUGCCCUUUGUACACACCGCCCGUCGCUGCCCGGAACUGAGCCGUUUCGAGAAGAACAGGGACCGUCGUUGAAGGGCCUUAACGGGCUUUUCUCUGAUAGAAACUGUUUUAAUCGCAGUGGCUUGAACCGGGCAAAAGUCGUAACAAGGUU
rnacentral:rRNA from 1 species